ACUCUUUGGAGCUAUAGGCAGGAUAUCAGUCUCACAAGCUGAAGGUCCUGAGUUCGAUCCUCAGAAGGAGGG
rfam:Monodelphis domestica chromosome 4, whole genome shotgun sequence.